ACGGAGGGUGCAAGCGUUGUUCGGAAUUACUGGGCGUAAAGGGCGCGUAGGCGGUUUGACAAGUCAGAUGUGAAAGCCAACGGCUUAACCGUGGAAGUGCAUUUGAAACUGUCAGUCUUGAGUAUCGGAGGGGAAAGUGGAAUUCCGUGUGUAGAGGUGAAAUGCGUAGAUAUCGGGAGGAACACCAGUGGCGAAGGCGGAUUACUGGCUGAAUACUGACGCUGAGGCGCGAAAGCGUGGGGAGCAAACAA
rnacentral:rRNA from 1 species